GGCCCGCCCCCCGGUGGGCCGUGUGGCAGCAGAGGCGCCAUUGGCGGAGCGCGUGUGCGGGCCCGGGAGCGGCGGCAGCGGCCGGAGCCCGGUGAGGCGGCGGCGGAGCUCGGAGGCGGCCCCAGCGCAGGCGUUGGUGGCUCAGGAGGCCUGGCUGCCACCUGCAUCCCCUUGCUCAGCUGCUGAAUGAGCUGCACUCAGCAAGGUGUGGUGCAUGGUCAGAAGAUGAGAGUUGCUGCAGCACGGGAGGGGAGAAAGAGCCUUCGUUUAACCCCUGGUGUGCCAGGGAACCACGAAACCGUGUCCCAUUGCCAACCUUUCCACGUUUGGACUGGAACAUGAGCUGCUUUCUUAUUUCCUUUGUUACCUGUUUCACCACUUUUCUGUUGUCAUCUCUUUGCCAACAGGAUCUUGAGUCAUUGAAUUUUCCACACUGUCCUCCUCCUUCUGCUAAUAGAUAAUCUGAUCCCAUCCCAUGGUGAAAUGUUGUGUUCUUCGUUUGAGUGGAUUUUUUGGCCAGGCUCAGGAGCUGGAUGUGUCUGGUUGGUUCUUAUUUCGAAGCCAUCUUGUAAUCUAAUGAUGCCAUUGAAAUGAGAAAUGGGUUCUCUGGCUCCCGAUGUGAAUUUAUUGGGGUUCCGAGGGGCUGCUCCAUGGUGUUGUAGGAUUUGUUGUGGUGGCCGUUCAUCUUUUCCCCAUUUUUGGACACUCCCUCCAGCCAGGGCUGCAUCAAUUGAUCUCUUUUCUCUAAUUCAAUCAUCCCAUCCUUGGAUUCCCAAGUGAUUUCUCUGAGCUUGUGGUAGCACAAACACCCCAGUGGUGCAAAGCUCCCUGUGUGCCACAGACAGUGGCAGCACAUGUUGGAGUGGGGAGAGGGAUGAUUCCCCCCAGUUCUUGGAGUGGAGUUUUCCCAACAUUCUCCAUUUGCAGUUUCCCUUUGCAGCUGCCCCAGUUUCUGUUGCAGGGUCAGAUCUCCUCAGUGCGGGCUGUGCCUUUGGCUGUGCCAAUUGCAUCAGUGCCAGCAGGCAGAGCUUGGGGUGAGGGGCAGAGGGAAUGAGCCCAAAUCCUCCCGCAGGCAAGGAGAGCCUGGUGCAUUGUGCACCCUUUUCCCCAGCAGUGUUAAUUUGCAUUUCUAAAGCUCCUGUCCUGGCUGCCUGGAAGGAAGCUUCUCUUCCAGAGCAGCCACUGAAUGACUCACAUUUGGCCCACCCAAAUCUGUUUGUUGGGGGUUUUUUUUCUGGGUUUUUUUGUUUGUUUGUUUGUUUGUUUUUUUACAAUAUUUUAUUAACGGUUACUGAGUUAAAGGGUUACCUUUAAAGCUCUUCUGGUUUUGCAAAAUGCAACCUAAAGGUGAACAUCGAAAUACCCAAACGAAAAUUUUUCCAUCGCUGAGAGCCACACACAAACACAAAAACAUUCCAAAGCAUGCAGGUUUUUUCUACUUCUUCUCCUAGGACUUAAAAUAGAUCUCACAGCCGUUGUCCAAACCUAAAUGACAAUAUAAAUGUAGGAUUUAUACGAAAAAUUAUUCUAAAUGUGUAAUCUUGUUACUGAAACUGCGGGAAAAACAAAAACUCUCCAACAAUAUUAUUAGUGUUAGAGAGUCAAGGCAUUACUUGAUUCUGGCCAGGCUGUGCAACAGAAAUCAUUUCAUCCGCACAUAGCCUGGGUGUGCACUGAAAAUCAUUCCAUGACCCGUAAGUAUUACUGGAUUUUUCCAAAAUUUUAAACAGCCUGAACCCACAGAAAUCCAUUGGUUUGAUGUUCAUUGCUUCCAAGGUGUGAAGUUCUCAGUAUUUGGUUUCCUGUUGGCCCUGGAUUUCUUUGCCUCUGCUGUUAGUUAGGCCUGCACUCCUGGGUUUCCUUCUCAGCCUUUUCCAGCCCAGGUGUCUGCAGCUAUUCCCGGGGCAGUGUCUGGGGUGGAUGUUGAUUGGUGUUUGCUGAUGGUGGUUGAUGUUUUGUUGAUGGUCGUUAUCUCUGUGGGUAUCUUUUGGGCUCUUCCCAGUCUGUUGAGAUGUUAAACUCAUCUCUGUUGAAUGGUGUAAUACCCCUUAUAAAAAAAUCCUUUAAAAUUCCUUUCCCCAGGGCAAAGGCAAACC